rnacentral:rRNA from 1 species
CAGUAGCCGCGGUAAUACGAAGGGUGCAAGCGUUACUCGGAAUUACUGGGCGUAAAGCGUGCGUAGGUGGUGGUUUAAGUCCGUUGUAAAAGCCCUGGGCUCAACCUGGGAAUUGCAGUGGAUACUGGGUCACUAGAGUGUGGUAGAGGAUAGUGGAAUUUCCGGUGUAGCAGUGAAAUGCGUAGAGAUCGGAAGGAACAUCUGUGGCGAAGGCGACUAUCUGGGCCAACACUGACACUGAGGCACGAAAGCGUGGGGAGCAAACAGGAUUAGAUACCCCCGUAGUCCCUGUCUCUUAUAC